UGCAGAGAUGGGAAUGAGAUGGCUGGUUCCCCAUGCGUCCCUUCCUUCUAGAAGCAACUUCGAAAGCACUGGACACACCUCUCCCUGGUGUGAGUCCUCCAUCCUCACUCAUCAUCUAAGCAUCAGGAGCCCCAGUGUUGAGCCCUCCUAUUGCCUGAAGACUGGGCUGUGAGACCAGGAUCUCCGUGGGUGAGACUCAAAAACACUCUCUCACCCAGCACUCUCAGUGUUCACAGGAGAAGGUGGUGACAGGGAGUAAGGAAGGAAGGGUUUCCAUGGAUUCACAAAGCCAGGACUUGAGGACCGCAGGGAGGACGGGCUCUGUGUGCUGUGGUCCAACUCUGGGCAUGCGCUGUACCAGGCAGAUAUUCCCACUGCAGUUGAGGAGCCUGUGGAAGAGCCUGCAGCAUCCUGGGGGAUCUGCCACUUGGCAUCUGUGUUUGAAGCUUUAAAAGCUCUAGUUUCUGUUUUGUUUCUCCCUGAGGUUAUCUGCACUGGCAGGACUGCAAGCACACAUGAAAUCUGCAUCUACUGAGGCCUUCCUUUGGUCUCCUAACCCUCCACAGGUCAACACCAUGGGGUGGGUCUGGCAGCAGGAGGAGAGAGCCAAGCUCUCCCCACAGUGGGAGGCUUAGGUCAGGAGACACAAGUCUGACCAUCCUAAAUCAAGCAUACUUGGGAGAGGUGAGCACAGAGUCGCUCCAGGAGCCAGGAUGGCUGUGAAUGCAGGGACCUGGAAAGGGCAGAGUGUCAGCUGGAGGCACGUGGGCUGGUGUGCAAGGAAUAGUGGCUCCUCUCGCCUUUCGCAGAGAAGGAGUGCUGCGCUGGCGUGGGGAGCUGCAUUCUGGGAGCCGCCAGCCGGCGCCCCCUCCCACAGCUACUCGAGGUGGAGCUUUACUUUGGCACCAAGUUGCUGGUUGUCUGCUGACUUGACCACAUUGAUUCUGGCCCUGUAGAAUGCAAUGGGGCUGCUCUCAGGAAUCCUGAAACUCUCACCGCCAGCUUCCAGGGAGAGGACAUUUUUCAACCCUCUGGAGAGUCUGAGUGUGGACAGCUCACUGGCAGAAGAUCGGGAUUCUGGUGACCCUCGAGGCCAACUGCCACAUGCACUGUUCCAGCAUGUCGUGAUGUGGAGGACUGGCCCGGAGAGGCCCCUGCUCAGGAUCGGAAGCAUCAUCGUGCAUGCAGCCAAGAGCAAAGCAAACAGCGUUUGCAGCCGACCAGCCUUCGGUCCUGCAGUAGAGCCGGAUGGACGGCGGCCCACUCAGCCUGCAAUGCCGUAAUACUUUAUUUCAACAUGAUAUGACAUCAUUAAAGACACUUCAUGUUGUUUUUGUCUGUGGUUUGGAAUUAUGUCUGCUUAAUCAAUUCCAUUAUGCAUUCAACUUCCACGACACAUCAAAGGCUGAUAAGGUUUUUAUUUUUUUUUUAAACUUUGCUUGCUUAAAAUGAUUUCCCUCCAGAUCAAGAUGCAGAGCACAAAAUAUUAAUCAGUUUAAAUAAAU
rnacentral:lncRNA from 13 species